CUACGGGCGGCAGCAGUGGGGAAUAUUGGACAAUGGGCGAAAGCCUGAUCCAGCAAUGCCGCGUGUGCGAUGAAGGCCUGAGGGUUGUAAAGCACUUUCGUUGGGAAAGAAAUGCUCAAAGCUAAUACCUUUGAGAGUUGACGUUACCCAAAGAAGAAGCACCGGCUAACUCUGUGCCGAGCAGCCGCGGUAAUACAGAGGGUGCAAGCGUUAAUCGGAGUUACUGGGCGUAAAGGGCGCGUAGGCGGAUACUUAAGUCGGAUGUGAAAUCCCUGGGCUCAACCUAGGAACUGCGUUCGAUACUAAGUGCCUAGAGUAUGGUAGAGGAAAGUGGAAUUCCCGGUGUAGUGGUAAAAUACGUAGAUAUCGGGAGGAACAUCAGUGGCGAAGGCGACUUUCUGGGCCAAUACUGACGCUGAGGCGCGAAAGCGUGGGGAGCAAACAGGAUUAGAUACCCUAGUAGUC
rnacentral:rRNA from 1 species